rnacentral:rRNA from 1 species
UACGGAGGGUGCAAGCGUUAUCCGGAUUCACUGGGUUUAAAGGGUGCGUAGGUGGGAAUGUAAGUCAGUGGUGAAAUCUCCGUGCUUAACACGGAACUGCCAUUGAUACUAUGUUUCUUGAAUUUUCUGGAGGUUAGCGGAAUAUGUCAUGUAGCGGUGAAAUGCUUAGAUAUGACAUAGAACACCAAUUGCGAAGGCAGCUAACUACAGGGAUAUUGACACUGAGGCGCGAAAGCGUGGGGAGCAAACAGG